GCUCAUAUAAGUGUUGAGAAAGAUUAUAAUGCAAACAGAUGAUUUGGACUUAUGUGUGCACAAAAAUCCAGGCCUCUCAUCAGAACUCACAUAUUGCAAUAUCAAAUUCAGCAACAGUAACAAGUAGUAAUAUUCACAGAACUCUGGCUUAGAAAAUCAGUGUGCAAGAGAGAAUUUUUUUAACAAUCUAAUGCAGUAUGGAACCAGGUGUAUGCUCUUGAAUGAUACCUCUUUAGCUUCUUCCAUGAGU
rnacentral:misc_RNA from 1 species